CCUGGGAUAGCUCAGUCGGCAGAGCAUGAGACUCUUAAUCUCAGUCUUGUGGGUUCUAUAGCCCCACAUUCAGCA